UACGUAGGUGACAAGCGUUGUCCGGAUUUACUGGGCGUAAAGAGCGCGCAGGCGGUCGAUCAAGUCGAGUGUGAAAGCCCCCGGCUCAACUGGGGAGGGUCAUUCGAUACUGAUCGACUCGAAGGCAGGAGAGGGUAGUGGAAUUCCCGGUGUAGUGGUGAAAUGCGUAGAUAUCGGGAGGAACACCUGUGGCGAAAGCGGCGCACUGGACCAUAACUGACGCUGAUGCGCGAAAGCUAGGGGAGCAAACAGG
rnacentral:rRNA from 1 species